AACGAACGCUGGCGGCAGGCUUAACACAUGCAAGUCGAACGGGUGUAGCAAUACAUCAGUGGCAGACGGGUGAGUAACACGUGGGAACCUUCCUCGUUGUACGGAACAACUCAGGGAAACUUGAGCUAAUACCGUAUACGUCCGAGAGGAGAAAGAUUUAUCGCAAUGAGACGGGCCCGCGUCGGAUUAGCUAGUUGGUAAGGUAACGGCUUACCAAGGCGACGAUCCGUAGCUGAUCUGAGAGGAUGAUCAGCCACACUGGGACUGAGACACGGCCCAGACUCCUACGGGAGGCAACAGGGGGGAAUCUUGGACAAUGGGCGCAAGCCUGAUCCAGCCAUGCCGCGUGAGUGAAGAAGGCCUUCGGGUUGUAAAGCUCUUUUGUCAGGGACGAUAUUGACGGUACCUGAAGAAUAAGCCCCGGCAAACUUCGUGCCAGCCGCCGCCGUAACAC
rnacentral:rRNA from 1 species